GCGCGAUUAGCUCAGUUGGAUAGAGCGCUGGCCUCCGGAGCCAGAGGCCGCAGGUUCGACUCCUGCAUCGCGCGCCA
rnacentral:tRNA from 1 species